rnacentral:rRNA from 1 species
UACGUAGGGGGCGAGCGUUAUCCGGAAUACUGGGCGUAAAGCGCACGCAGGCGGUUCGCCCAAGUUUGGAGUGACAGUUGUCGGCUCAACCGACAAAGGACUUCAAAAACUGGUGAACUUGAGGACGAGAGAGGAACAUGGAACUCCAGGUGUAGUAGUGAAAUGCGUAGAUAUCUGGAAGAACACCAAUGGCGAAGGCAGCCCCCUGGGCUAACACUGACGCUCAGGCACGAAAGCGUGGGGAGCAAACGAGGGAUUACAGAA